GAGUCUUCACGACGCAUUCACUGAACAACGGUGCUCCCUAAAUUUAUACUAAUAUAGAAUUGGGCCUCGUCACUAGUUGAGUAGUUCACAACCCAAAUAACGGUGUGAUUGGAGACUUUCAAUAUAUCGAGCAAAAGGGAAAGUAGAUGGUUCGAUAUUGGUUCUUUUCCAAUUUGGUGCUCGUAGAUCUUCCGGUUUUGGUCCAUUUCUUCACUCAUUGUGCGGCAUGUUUCAUCUUCAAACCCUAAUCCAUCUCCCCUCCGCUUUCUUCACACCCUUUUCCGAUCAGCCUGUUUAGGAUGAUUUGCUUUCCAUGCCUACAAACCAUUACGCUUCGGAGGCUACGGUCUAUUAUACUCCUCAAACUCCAAACCUAACCUUUAAUGGAUUCCUUUAGAGGUGCAGAACAUGAGGAGCGGAAAGCAAGGGCCUUAGCUGCAGCUGCCAAGGAGUUGGAAAGACUUCUCAGAAAGGAAGAUUUUGGUAGAAUGAAGAUUGUUGCUUGCAUUAGCUGAUUUUUGUGCACUACCUUCAGUUUCUUGAUAACAGUAUUUAUGUGAUCGGACAAUUCAAUGUUGGCUUCAUUGUUGGGAAAUUAGAUCAAGAUUUAUUUAUAGUAGAUAAGCCGAGCAUUCUGGGACAAGAGAUCAGUCAAGAAGUCAAUGGUGAUGCACAGAUUGCGAGGACUCAGGAGUUAUGUGUUCAAAAUUAUGGGAGGCUGUGACAAGAAAUUGUUUCCUUUGAAGCAAGGAGUGUUAACCCCAGGGUGUGUUCGCCUUUUGCUCCACGGGGGAGCCUCAUGCUUCCAAGGACAUGGAAGGAGGUAUAGUGAGCGAAGAAGGAAGUCUGUUCAUGGAUGAAUUGUUAGUCCAGACCUUUUUGUGUUGAACUUCGUCAUUGUUAAGAAAGGUGACAAUGACCUUCCUGGACUGACUGAUGUUGAAAAGCCAACAGUGAGAGGUCCAAAGAGGGCUUCCAAGAUCCACAAGUUAUUUAACCUCACCAAGGACGAUGAUGGUAGGAAGUAUGUCAACACUUAACGCAGAAAAUUCACAUCCAAAAAUGGUUUGCUUACAUGUAGAGUGAGUUGCAGACUUAGAUGGUGUAAUGAGUUACCUUAGGCCUGCAAACCAGUGUGGUGGAAAUCACAGCAGCAACCAUGAAGCAGUGUUAUGUUAAGCCAUGUGCAGGGGUGAUGCGAUAACGUACUAAUGUAUAUGUAGAUAUAUGGGUUGUCGCCACCAUGUCUGUAAAUGCAGAUAUUGGAAAUCAGAACUGCAUGUGUUGUGUUAUGCAGCAAUUGUGCAAAGGUUGCUACAUAAAAUCAAUUUUUUUUUCCCUCUCUUUUUCCCUUUCCUAUAGAACUCUAUUGAUGUCUGCAACUGCAAGUUAUAUUCUGUAACAAUGAAAUUGGCACUCUGACUAUGUAAACCAGUUUUGCAAUGAAUGUAUGGAUGUUGAAAUCAUUUAGUUUGUUCAUAAUAUUACUAUUGGUUA